UACGUAGGGUGCGAGCGUUGUCCGGAAUCAUUGGGCGUAAAGCGCGUGUAGGCGGUCCGGUAAGUCCGCUGUGAAAGUCGGGGGCUCAACCCUCGGAUGCCGGUGGAUACUGUCGGGCUUGAGUACGGAAGAGGCGAGUGGAAUUCCUGGUGUAGCGGUGAAAUGCGCAGAUAUCAGGAGGAACACCAAUGGCGAAGGCAGCUCGCUGGGACGGUACUGACGCUGAGACGCGAAAGCGUGGGGAGCAAACAGG
rnacentral:rRNA from 1 species